rnacentral:lncRNA from 1 species
ACUGGCACGGCAGGCGACUUGGCGGCGCCUCCUCUCUUGGCGGCGGGCUGCUUCUUGGUGGUGGUGGCGUCGGGGGUGGUGACGACCUCGACGCGGACGUCGCGGGAGCGUGAGACGUCGACGACCUCCGGCUGGUCGUCGACGUCCUGGGUGGCGGAGUCGGGGAGGAUGGCGGUGGCGACCUGGACGGUCUCCUCGACCACCUUGGUCUUGGUCUUGACGACGGAGCUCACCACCUUGCUGCCGCGGCGCUUGGGAGCCAUC